rnacentral:rRNA from 1 species
GAUGAACGCUGGCGGCGUGCCUAAUACAUGCAAGUCGAACGAGGUGCUUGAGUAGCAAUACAAGAGUAUCCUAGUGGCGAACGGGUGAGUAACGCGUGGAUGACCUGCCCCAAAGUGUGGGAUAACAGUCCGAAAGGAUUGCUAAUACCUCAUGUGGUUAUCGGAUUUAGAAACUGAUAACUAAAGCAGCAAUGCGCUUUGGGAGGGAUCUGCGUCCCAUCAGCUAGUUGGUGAGGUAACGGCUCACCAAGGCGACGACGGGUAGGGGACCUGAGAGGGUGGCCCCCCACAAUGGAACGUAGAACAACGGUCCACUACACCUA